UACGAGUGCCCCAAGCGUUAUCCGGAAUCAUUGGGCGUAAAGGGUGUGUAGGUGGUUGUAUUAGUCUUUUGUAAAAUCUCCAGGCUUAACCUGGAAACUGUAAAAGAAACGGUACAACUAGAGGGUGCGAGGGGUCUGUGGAACUCAUGGAGUAGGGGUGAAAUCCGUUGAUAUCAUGGGGAACACCAAAAGCGAAGGCAACAGACUGGCGCAUUCCUGACACUGAAACACGAAAGCGUGGGUAGCGAAUGGG
rnacentral:rRNA from 1 species